rnacentral:rRNA from 1 species
GACGAACGCUGGCGGCGUGCUUAACACAUGCAAGUCGAACGGAAAGGCCCCCUUGUGGGGUACUCGAGUGGCGAACGGGUGAGUAACACGUGAGUAACCUACCCUUGACUUUGGGAUAACUUCAGGAAACUGGGGCUAAUACCGGAUAGGAGCUCCUGCUGCAUGGUGGGGGUUGGAAAGUUUCGGCGGUUGGGGAUGGACUCGCGGCUUAUCAGCUUGUUGGUGGGGUAGUGGCUCACCAAGGCUUUGACGGGUAGCCGGCCUGAGAGGGUGACCGGCCACAUUGGGACUGAGAUACGGCCCAGACUCCUACGGGAGGCAGCAGUGGGGAAUAUUGCACAAUGGGCGGAAGCCUGAUGCAGCAACGCCGCGUGCGGGAUGACGGCCUUCGGGUUGUAAACCGCUUUCGCCUGUGACGAAGCGUGAGUGACGGUAAUGGGUAAAGAAGCACCGGCUAACGACGUG